rnacentral:rRNA from 1 species
AGUGAACGCUGGCGGUAGGCCUAACACAUGCAAGUCGAACGGCAGCACAGUAAGAGCUUGCUCUUACGGGUGGCGAGUGGCGGACGGGUGAGGAAUACAUCGGAAUCUACUUUUUCGUGGGGGAUAACGUAGGGAAACUUACGCUAAUACCGCAUACGUCCUACGGGUGAAAGCAGGGGAUCUUCGGACCUUUCGCGAUUGUAUUAGCCGAUGUCGGAUUAGCUAGUUGGCGGGGUAAAGGCCCACCAAGGCGACGAUCCGUAGCUGGUCUGAGAGGAUGAUCAGCCACACUGGAACUGAGACACGGUCCAGACUCCUACGGGAGGCAGCAGUGGGGAAUAUUGGACAAUGGGCGCAAGCCUGAUCCAGCCAUACCGCGUGGGUGAAGAAGGCCUUCGGGUUGUAAAGCCCUUUUGUUGGGAAAGAAAAGCAGCAGGUUAAUACCCCGCUGUUCUGACGGUACCCAAAGAAUAAGCACCGGCUAACUUCGUG